CCCGCACAAGCGGAGGAGCAUGUGGUUUAAUUCGAUGAUACGCGAGGAACCUUACCUGGGCUCGAACGUAAGAUGACUGUAGGUGAAAGCUUACAUCUCUUCGGAGCAUUUUACGAGGUGCUGCAUGGUUGUCGUCAGCUCGUGCCGUGAGGUGUCGGGUUAAGUCCCAUAACGAGCGCAACCCUACCUUUAGUUGCCAUCAGGUAAUGCUGGGGACUCUAAAGGAACUGCCUACGCAAGUAGUGAGGAAGGCGGGGAUGACGUCAAAUCAGCACGGCCCUUACGUCCAGGGCUACACACGUGCUACAAUGGCCGAUACAGAGGGCAGCUACCUGGUGACAGGAUGCAAAUCUCCAAAGUCGGUCUCAGCUCGGAUCGGAGUCUGCAACCCGACUCCGUGAAGUUGGAUUCGCUAGUAAUCGCGCAUCAGCCAUGGCGCGGUGAAUACGUUCCCGGGCCUU
rnacentral:rRNA from 1 species